AGGUUGUGCAUCACCAAGAAUUCCCUCCUCACUGUCCACAUGGAAGUGAUCAGUCAGCAGUGAGUGUAUAAAGAUCUGUGUGUUUCAAACCUCAUCAGUCAUGGACAAAACUGUGCUGCUGCUCCUGUUGUGUCUCCUCACAGCCGCCACGACCACUGACGCAGCCGCUGUGGUGAGAGACGACCUGCAACAGCUGUCUCCAGAUGUGAUGGAAAGAGUAAGUGUGCACGAAAACAGCGGACAAAGAGCCAAACGACGAGCUCCCAACUGCCGGUUUAGGCAGGGUGCUUGUUCACCUUUUGGACAGUCGCAGCCUGCCCCGACUGCUGCCCCUCCUGAUACUGACACCAGAAAAUAAAGUGACAACAAGAAUACCAAACCAACCUGAUGACAGACAUGAAAACCUGAAUCCUCUCAAGGAAGCUUUUCUCUUUUGCUUUGACAUUUUGGUGAAAAAAUCAAUCACUGCAUGAACUCUGCAUCGUGAAUGCUAAGUCAACACUCCUCAUUACUUCUGCACAAGAGGAAAAACAUAGUGACCAUGCCAUUAAUUAUGACACGUCAUUUUUUCUGCAUCACAUGUAAUAUAUAUAUAUAUAUAUAUAUAUACAGUAUAUAUAUAUAUAUAUCGACAGUAAGUUUUAUUUUGUUGAUUUUACUCUGGAUGCAGUUCUGCACACACCAUCUAAAUGUUGUUUUGGGUUGUUUUUUGUUUACAAAUAAAAACUGUUAAAAAAAAACAAAAAACAAGAUGUUUGUAUUUAAAAUAAAAGGUUCAUCCAUCCAAUCUUUCACCUGCUGACUGUGUGUGUGCCCUGCAGGUUGUGCCCUGUAGUUUAUUAGUAAUGAAAUCAAGACAACAGAUGGAAAAUUAACAUCACAUAACAAAAGAUUUACACUUUUGUUCAAUUACGGUUUAAAUUGUUUGAAAUCUGUUCCAUAAAAUGCAUUGGUUUAAAUAAUUUUGCUUUUACUGAUGCUGUGAUGAAUUUAUAACAGAUUUUAUUAGAAUAAAUAAUGACAGUGAUUUCACUCCAAGUGCUGUUAAAUUAAAGUAAUACUUCACUUUGUGUACUUUGUUGCAAACUAAAUAAAG